UUAAAAAAUGUGGUAAAAUAGACACCUUUUAAUUGGACCACAUUUUGUCUAUCUCGACGUAGGCCUCAGUGUCAUCAAGGAGACUCUCCUUGACGUGCAGUCACGGCCAUGAUCCAUCUUCAGAGCUUCUCUUUCUUCCCCAAGGCUGGCGCUGAGAUGGGCAGGUGCUGCAGCAGCCCGGCUGGAAGCGAUGCAGCAUCCAGGACGACGGAGGAAGGGGCAGAGAGGGACCUCCGCUUUCCAGGCUGCCUUUUAUACUGCCUCUGGUCACCUGACAUGGAACGUACCCUAACCUAAUCAGUUACCUGUACCUUAAUUGCAAUUAACUUAAUCCAAUUACAUGACCUGGAAAGGUCUAUCUGCACAGCCCACUCUAAGAUCAUGUCCACUGCUGACAGACAUUCUAAAACCUACUUGUACAGCUGCAAGCUUUGAACAAUAGAUGUUCCCCGUCAGACAUGUAACACUGGUGCCUGUACCCGUCUUCUUUUCCAUCUUUUUUGUCGUUUAGUUUUGUUUUGUUUUAAAAAAUGUGGUAAAAUAGACACCUUUUAAUUGGACCACAUUUUGUCUAUCUCGACGUAGGCCUCAGUGUCAUCAAGGAGACUCUCCUUGACAUGCAGUCACGGCCAUGAUCCAUCUUCAGAGCUUCUCUUUCUUCCCCAAGGUAAGUCUGUCAGCAGAGAACCCUGACCGCACCCUCAUGUGUUUUCUCCCCCAGGAGGCGCUUGGAAACCACCGUGAAUUGGACCGCACUGGGAAACACAGAUGAGGAAAGUCAACAACGCUUUGUCCUUCAGUGCCUGGCUCCUUUUUCAGCUCCUCUUGCGACUCCAGGCAUUAUGCCUGAAAAGUCUCCCGGACGCCUGUGAGGCUCUAAUUCCCUGGGUCCCAUUGCCAUGUCUCUGGAUUUGCGAAGAUCCACCGCACCUUCUGUGGAACUCCCGUGUCGGUGAACUUUAGUGCCACGGCCCCUAAUUCUGCCCAUGGUCAUCCGCACCUGCACGACUUAGGGUCCAUGUUCCUUGGACGGGAAGAGACAGGCAGGAGUCGGAAUGAUGAACCAGCACACUGGGGCGUUUUCUCAUGUAGCCCAAGUGACCCCAUGGUCUUCUCGAGCUUUGGAACCAGUCGCGUCCCCUUUGACACUGCACCCGGCUCCCAGUCUCUCAAUCUUGUUGGCCCUCCGGCGAUCUCCCGUUGGAUGAAUUGCUCCUGCUGAAACUCGAGUCCCCUUUGAUUUGCGCUUCAUUAAUUAUUCAUGAUUCAGGUUGGAAGGCCUGCUGACGACCCCCUGUGGCCGUUCUCUGAGCUUUCCUGUCACAUCGUUUCCUUCCACGCUCUUUGGUUCCUUAUGGUCCUGCUCCUUCUGCUGUCAGAGGAGCAGAGAGUUGAUCUUAUUCAUUCUGGAUACGGAUACUUUCUAGGUGAUCUGGAUAAUCAAGAUAACGACCCUCAACAGCGGCGGAAAGGGAGCAGCCAGUUGGUGUGUCUCAGAAAAUCCCGCUGAGUUCCGAGGCCUCCUAGAUGUGGAAUCCUGCUGAGAGUUGGUCCCAGGUCAGAGAAUGGAGAGAGCCUGUGCAUGAUGGGAUAUCCCCGCCUAGAUCUUUUAGUGAGUCUCUGCCUCAGCUACUCUUAGGAUCAGGGGGAGAACCAUGGUGUCAGACAUCCGGAAAGAAGACGGGAUGAAUGUUUUACCUCUGAAGUACAUCCCAAAUGUGGGAGUUAACUUCAGCUUUGCUGGGGUCUAUUUGGCCAGUGAAACUCUGCCUGGUUCCUUCGCACAUCCGGAAGCCACUUCACGGGGGGCCGUCGCAACUGGAACCACACACUUGGCAUCGGCGGUUGAGCCAAAUGGGGACUCGUGGUGCAAGCAACGCUCCCCACGUGUUAGCGUGCGUGAGAUUCGGUUGGCGGAAUUUUACUAGGUGCGUGUUGGUAGAGUGGGGCUGAGGUUUUCUUGCUCCUGUGGAUGUAUAGGAAGUCAAAGGUCCUGCCCAGCCCUGCGGUCCCCUCAGUCAACUCUGUUUCGGAGAGGUAACGAUUUGGAUUGCCAACAAAUCAAGAAAUGUUCAAGCCCUUGGAUGUAGGGUAAAGAAAGAGAGAUCGGACUGUCACUGUGUCUAUGUAGAAGGGGAAGACAUAAGAGACUCCAUUUUGAAAAAGACCUGUACUUUAAACAAUUGCUUCACUGAGAUGUUGAUCAUUUGUAGCUUUGCCGCAGCCCCUUCCUUUGACCCAACUUGGAGCUCACAAAAACCUGUGUUGUAUAAAAUCGAGGUUUAAGGGAUCUAGGGCUGUGCAGGACGCGCCUUGUUAACCAAAUGUUUACGAGCAGUAUACUUGGUAGAAGUCAUUGCCAUUCUCUAGUCUCAAUAAACCAGGG